CCUACGGGUGGCAGCAGUGAGGAAUAUUGGUCAAUGGGCGAGAGCCUGAACCAGCCAAGUCGCGUGAAGGAUGACGGCCCUACGGGUUGUAAACUUCUUUUGUCAGGGAGCAAAUGAGGCCACGUGUGGGCUUAGCGAGAGGACCUGAAGAAAAAGCAGCGGCUAACUCGGGGCCAGCAGCCGCGGUAAUACGGAGGAUGCUAGCGUUAUCCGGAUUUAUUGGGUUUAAAGGGUGCGUAGGCGGAAUAUCAAGUCAGCGGUAAAAAUUCGGGGCUCAACCCCGUCGUGCCGUUGAAACUGCUGUUCUUGAGUGGGCGAUAAGUAUGCGGAAUGCGUGGUGUAGCGGU
rnacentral:rRNA from 1 species